CAGAAACAAUUGAUCUUGAUGGAACAAUCUUGUUUUUAUAUAAAAUUUCAAGCUGGUGAUGACAUGUGUAAAAGGAAAAGUGCUGCAAGCAGUAAAUGCUGUUCAGUUUGCAGUCCAUUACAUCAACAUAUCUAAAUGAUCCUCUUUAGCCCAAACUAUCAGAAUGAAUUUUCCACAUCAGCCACAAGAAUGACCUUCCGGCAUACAAGACACUUCUUCCCAUGUAAUGCAAGGGAAAAAAAAGUUCAGGUACUUCAAUAGGAUGUUGGAAAAGAAGACUUCCACUCUAAUAGGAUGAAAAAAUGAUCAUUUAUUUACAUCAUUCUGAUUUCUUUUAAUUGCUUCACAAUCCACUAUAAAGAAGAUUCGCUCUGACCCUAAAUUUUCUACUUUUUUUCCCACUUUUCUCUCACAUAAAUUAGGUGUUUCAUUCUUUUUCCUCCUUAUUAUUUUAUUUACACCAUUCUGUGUUGAGCACAGAAAGGUGGAAGUAUAUAGCCCUGUUCUCUGUUUUUAAUGCUCUGUAUAUUUUUGUUUCCUUUUCUGUGGAAUCA
rnacentral:lncRNA from 1 species